ACAGCAGUAGCCACGGUAAUACAGAGGGUGCGAGCGUUAAUUGGAUUUACUGGGCGUAAAGCGUGCGUAGGCGGCUUUUUAAGUCGGAUGUGAAAUCCCUGAGCUUAACUUAGGAAUUGCAUUCGAUACUGGGAAGCUAGAGUAUGGGAGAGGAUGGUAGAAUUCCAGGUGUAGCGGUGAAAUGCGUAGAGAUCUGGAGGAAUACCGAUGGCGAAGGCAGCCAUCUGGCCUAAUACUGACGCUGAGGUACGAAAGCAUGGGGAGCAAACAGGAUUAGAUACCCCCGUAGUCCCUGUCUCUUAUAC
rnacentral:rRNA from 1 species